rnacentral:rRNA from 1 species
GAUCAUGGCUCAGGAUGAACGCUAGCGACAGGCUUAACACAUGCAAGUCGAGGGGCAGCACAGGUAGCAAUACCGGGUGGCGACCGGCGCACGGGUGAGUAACGCGUAUGCAACUUGCCUAUCAGAGGGGGAUAACCCGGCGAAAGUCGGACUAAUACCGCAUGAAGCAGGGGCCCCGCAUGGGGAUAUUUGUCUAAAGAAUUCUAUCGCUGUAUAGAUAGGCGAUGCGUUCCU